CACGGAGAGGGCGAGCGUUGUUCGGAAUCACUGGGCGUAAAGGGCGCGUAGGCGGCUUAACAAGUCGACUGUGAAAUCUUAGGGCUUAACCGUAAGACUGCAGUCGAAACUGUUAAACUUGAGCACAGGAGGGGAGAACGGAAUUCCGGGUGUAUGGGUGGAAUCAGUAGAUAUCCGGAAGAACACCAGAGGCGAAGGCGGUUCUCUGGCCUGUUGCUGACGCUGAGGUCGCGAAAGCUAGGGGAGCAAAUGGGAUUAGAUACCCCCGUA
rnacentral:rRNA from 1 species